rnacentral:rRNA from 1 species
GAUGAACGCUGGCUACAGGCUUAACACAUGCAAGUCGAGGGGAAACGCCGGGGAAGCUUGCUUCCCCGGGCGUCGACCGGCGCACGGGUGAGUAACGCGUAUCCAACCUGCCUCUGACUGAGGGAUAACCCGUCGAAAGUCGGCCUAAUACCUCAUGGCAUCGUCUGCGGGCAUCCAACGACGAUUAAAGAUUUCAUCGGUCAGGGAUGGGGAUGCGUCUGAUUAGCUUGUUGGCGGGGUAACGGCCCACCAAGGCUACGAUCAGUAGGGGUUCUGAGAGGAAGGUCCCCCACAUUGGAACUGAGACACGGUCCAAACGCCUACGGGAGGCAGCAGUGAGGAAUAUUGGUCAAGGGGCGGGAGCCUGAACCAGCCAAGUAGCGUGCAGGAUGACGGCCCUAUGGGUUGUAAACUGCUUUUAGGCGGGGAUAAAGUGAGGGACGCGUCCUUCAUUGCAGGUACCGCAUGAAUAAGGACCGGCUAAUUCCGUG